rnacentral:rRNA from 1 species
UACGUAGGUGGCGAGCGUUGUCCGGAUUUACUGGGCGUAAAGGGAGCGUAGGCAGGCUUUUAAGUGAGAUGUGAAAUACUCGGGCUCAACUUGAGUGCUGCAUUUCAAACUGGAAGUCUAGAGUGCAGGAGAGGAGAAUGGAAUUCCUAGUGUAGCGGUGAAAUGCGUAGAGAUUAGGAAGAACACCAGUGGCGAAGGCGGCUUACUGGGCUUUAACUGACGCUGAGGCUCGAAAGCGUGGGUAGCAAACAGG